rnacentral:rRNA from 1 species
GAUGAACGCUGGCGGCGUGCCUAAUACAUGCAAGUCGAGCGAAUGGAUUAAGAGCUUGCUCUUAUGAAGUUAGCGGCGGACGGGUGAGUAACACGUGGGUAACCUGCCCAUAAGACUGGGAUAACUCCGGGAAACCGGGGCUAAUACCGGAUAACACUUUGAACCGCAUGGUUCGAAAUUGAAAGGCGGCUUCGGCUGUCACUUAUGGAUGGACCCGCGUCGCAUUAGCUAGUUGGUGAGGUAACGGCUCACCAAGGCAACGAUGCGUAGCCGACCUGGGAGGGUGAUCGGCCACACUGGGACUGAGACACGGCCCAGACUCCUACGGGAGGCAGCAGUAGGGAAUCUUCCGCAAUGGACGGAAGUCUGACGGAGCAACGCCGCGUGAGUGAUGAAGGCUUUCGGGUCGUAAAACUCUGUUGUUAGGGAAGAACAAGUGCUAGUUGAAUAAGCUGGCACCUUGACGGUACCUAACUAGAAAGCCACGGCUAACUACGUGCCAGCAGCCGCCGUAA